rfam:Gossypium hirsutum cultivar TM-1 chromosome 22, whole genome shotgun sequence
UAUUAAAAAUUUCAUCCAUUUGUACUAUUAAAAAUAAGCACGGUUGACGAAAUAACCAUAUAGUACAUGUGGCGUUCCACAUGUACCUCGUGUUGACAUAUAAAGGCCAGUUUUUAACAAUGAAAAUUGAUAGAAUUUUUAACA